rnacentral:rRNA from 1 species
CAGAACGUCGUGAGACAGUUCGGUCCCUAUCUGUCGUGGGCGUAGGAAAUUUGAGAGGAGCUGUCCUUAGUACGAGAGGACCGGGAUGGACGUACCGCUGGUGCACCAGUUGUUCCGCCAGAAGCAUGGCUGGGUAGCUACGUACGGACGGGAUAAGCGCUGAAAGCAUCUAAGCGUGAAGCCCCCCUCAAGAUGAGAUUUCCCAAUUAGUAAGACCCCUUGAAGACGACGAGGUA